CGCCCUUCCUACGGGAGGCAGCAGUGGGGAAUAUUGGACAAUGGGGGCAACCCUGAUCCGGCCAUGCCGCGUGUGUGAAGAAGGCCUUCGGGUUGUAAAGCUCUUUUACCCGGGAUGAUAAUGACCGUACCGAG
rnacentral:rRNA from 1 species